UGGUAGCUCAGUCGGUAGAGCAAGGGACUGAAAAUCCCUGUGUCGAUGGUUCGAUUCCGUCCCA
rnacentral:tRNA from 1 species